rnacentral:lncRNA from 1 species
UCCACAGUAGUGAAUCAGAUGAUUGGUGUUUUUGCUAUCCAAACUGCAUCAUCAUCAUGGUUAACCUGAUGAUCAAGACCCAGAUACGGCCUCUAGAUAAACUGUAUAAGAAUUUGACAUGAUUAGAGGAUAUGUAAUUGGAUAAAUUUUUAAAAUCAAAUGUAGAGUUGUUUAGUAGUGAUAAAUCGUCUGGUCCAACAUGGUCUAAAAGAUUGUGAUAGACUAC